rnacentral:rRNA from 5 species
CAAAACGACUCUCGGCAACGGAUAUCUCGGCUCUCGCAUCGAUGAAGAACGUAGCGAAAUGCGAUACUUGGUGUGAAUUGCAGAAUCCCGCGAAUCAUCGAGUUUUUGAACGCAAGUUGCGCCCAAAGCCGUUUGGCCGAGGGCACGUCUGCCUGGGUGUC